ANAGUUUGAUUCUGGCUCAGAACGAACGCUGGCGGCGUGGCUAAGGCAUGCAAGUCGAACGGACAUAUGGGAAAGGAAACUGGAACAUAUGUUAGUGGCGAACGGGUGAGGAAUACAUGGAUAACGUACCCUGGACUCGGGGAUAGCGGCGGAACUUCGGUUCCUUUGCGAAAGCGCCGGUAAUACCCGAUGAUCCCAUCGUGUCGCAUGAUGCGGUGGGCAAAGCUCAGGCGGUCUGGGAGCGGUUCAUGCCCUAUCAGCUUGUUGGUGAGGUAACGGCUCACCAAGGCUGCGACGGGUAUCGGGCGUGAGAGCGUGGCCCGACACAUCGGAACUGAGAUACGGUCCGGACACCUACGGGUGGCUGCAGCAACGAAUAUUCCGCAAUGGACGCAAGUCUGACGGAGCGACGCCGCGUGCAGGAAGAAGUCCUUCGGGAUGUAAACUGCUGUCAGGGGUUAGAAAGUUUGAUCAGCCCCAAAGGAAGCACUGGCUAACUCCGUGCCAGCAGCCGCGGUAAUACGGAGAGUGCAAGCGUUGUUCGGAAUCAUUGGGCUUAAAGCGCGUGUAGGCUGGGCACAAGGUGCCGUGUGAAAGCCCCGGGCUCAACCCGGGAAUGGCACGGCAAACCGGUGCUCUUGAGGCGGGCAGAGGUGACUGGAACGACUGGUGGAGCGGUGAAAUGCGUAGAUAUCAGUUGGAACGCCGGAGGCGAAAGCGAGUCACUGGGCCUGUCCUG
rnacentral:rRNA from 1 species